CCUCAACCGUCUACACGAGUUACAUUUUAGUCCCUAUCUACGAAGCAGAGCGUUUUUUAAAACAAUACAGCAACAAAGUUGGGCAUAAAAAUGCGCCUUUUGGUAGGUCUGAAAUCAAAAUGCAACUCAUAUGAAAAGUUAGGGACCACCUAUUAAUUUUAAUUUUAGCUAACUAUAAAAUGUAAUUCUAAUAUAGUACUAAAAAUUACCUGGAUCGUCCACUUCGAAAGAGGUGUUAGAGGCUUGACCAAAGAAAGGAUACGAGGGUAUUUUCAGUUGGAACGAGGGAUCCGAAGAAGAGGAGGAGGUGUGCAUUGGUGUCCCCAUUGUUGGCUGAAGACAAGAAAAUUUACCGUUGGUUGAUCUCUCUUUGAGAUGACAAGACAAGAAAGCCUUGAUAUAUAUAUAAUUUGGAGGGGCUAGGGGAUUAUAUGCAUCGAUUUGAGGUGGGGGUUGGGGGGCCA
rnacentral:lncRNA from 1 species